GAUGAACGCUGGCGGCGUGCCUAAUACAUGCAAGUCGAGCGAACGGACGAGAAGCUUGCUUCUCUGACGUUAGCGGCGGACGGGUGAGUAACACGUGGAUAACCUACCUAUAAGACUGGGAUAACUUCGGGAAACCGGAGCUAAUACCGGAUAAUAUUUUGAACCGCAUGGUUCAAAAGUGAAAGACGGUCUUGCUGUCACUUAUAGAUGGAUCCGCGCUGCAUUAGCUAGUUGGUAAGGUAACGGCUUACCAAGGCAACGAUGCAUAGUCGACCUGAGAGGGUGAUCGGCCACACUGGAACUGAGACACGGUCCAGACUCCUACGGGAGGCAGCAGUAGGGAAUCUUCCGCAAUGGGCGAAAGCCUGACGGAGCAACGCCGCGUGAGUGAUGAAGGUCUUCGGAUCGUAAAACUCUGUUAUUAGGGAAGAACAUAUGUGUAAGUAACUGUGCACAUCUUGACGGUACCUAAUCAGAAAGCCACGGCUAACUACGUG
rnacentral:rRNA from 1 species